GUCGACGGGCUCUUCGGAGCAAGUGGCGGACGGGUGAGUAACGCGUGAGAAUGUGCCUUGAGGAUGGGGAUAACAAUAGGAAACUAAUGCUAAGACCCAAUGUGCCUUAAGUGGUGAAAAAUGAAAAUUGCCUGAAGAGGAGCUCGCGUCUGAUUAGCUAGUUGGGGUGGUAAAAGCGCACCAAGGCGACGAUCAGUAGCUGGUCUGAGAGGAUGAGCAGCCACACUGGGACUGAGACACGGCCCAGACUCCUACGGGAGGCAGCAGUGGGGAAUUUUCCGCAAUGGGCGAAAGCCUGACGGAGCAAUACCGCGUGAGGGAGGAAGGCUCUUGGGUUGUAAACCUCAAAACUUAGGGAAGAAAAAAAUGACGGUACCUAAUUUAAGCAUCGGCUAACUCCGUG
rnacentral:rRNA from 1 species